AGUUGGAAUUUUGAUGGGGAUUGCAUUGAAUCUGUAGAUUGCUUUUGGCAAGAUAGCCAUUUUUACAAUGUUGAUCCUGCCAAUCCAUGAGCAUGGGAGAUCUUUCCAUCUUCUGAGAUCUUCUUUAAUUUCUUUCUUCAGAGACUUGAAGUUCUUAUCAUACAGAUCUUUCCCUUCCUUAGUUAGAGUCACGCCAAGAUAUUUUAUAUUAUUUGUGACUAUUGAGAAGGGUGUUGUUUCCCUAAUGUCUUUCUCAGCCUGUUUAUCCUUUGUGUACAGAAAGACCAUUGACUUGUUUGAAUUAAUUUUAUAUCCAGCUACUUCACUGAAGCUGUUUAUCAGGUUUAGGAGUUCUCUGGUGGAAUUUUUAGGGUCACUUAUAUAUACUAUCAUAUCAUCUGCAAAAAGUGAUAUUUUGACUUCUUCCUUUGCAAUUUGUAUCCCCUUGAUCUCCUUUUGUUGUCUAAUUGCUCUGGCUAGGACUUCAAGUACAAUGUUGAAUAGGUAGGGAGAGAGUGGACAGCCUUUUCUAGUCCCUGAUUUUAGUGGGAUUGCUUCCAGCUUCUCACCAUUUACUUUGAUGUUGGCUACUGGUUUGCUGUAGAUUGCUUUUAUCAUGGUUAGGUAUGGGCCUUGAAUUCCUAAUCUUUCCAAGACUUAUCAUGAAUGGGUGUUGGAUUUUGUCAAAUGCUUUCUCCACAUCUAACAAGAUGAUCAUGUGGUUUUUGUCUUUUUAGUCAGUGUUUCUAUUCCUGCACAAAACAUCACGACCAAGAAGCAAGUUGGGGAGGAAAGGAUUUAUUCAUCUUACACUUCCAGUUUACUGUUCAUCACCAAAGAAAGUCAGGACUGGAGUUCACACAGAGCAGGAAUCAGGAACUGAUGCCGAGGCCAUGGAGGGAUGUUACUUACUGGCUUGCUUCCCCUGACUUGCUCAGCUUGCUUUCUUAGAGAGCUCAUGAUUACCAGCCCGGGGAUGGCACAACCCACAGUGGGUCCUCCCACCCUUGAUCACUAAUUGCAAAAAUGCCUUACAGCUGGAUCUCAUGUAGGCAUUUCCUCAAGAGAGGCUCCUUUCUCUGUGAUAACUCCAGCUUGUGUCAAGUUGACACACAAAACCAGCCAGGACAACAUGUCUGUGAGGGACAUCUCAUGUUGAAUCCACAGCAGAUAGCCUAAGAUUUAUGAAGCCUUCCACGUAGGACAGAUUUUUUUAAUGGAUGGUAUAAUGAUGCACAUAUAUGCAUAUGACCCAUUCUUAAUCUCCUCUAACUUAUCAUGCCAGUAGCCAGUCGAGUUAUGACUAUGUAGCAGGCAGUUAAAAUACUGGCCACUUUGCCAAAAGCUCAUUUAGUAUUUGUGAGACACUAAACCAUGUGUUGACUUCAGGCAGAACCUUUCAGAAUUUAAACGCCCUUAAUCACCAACUCCUCAUGAUUUUAUAACUCAUGAUUGGGCUCUUUCAAUUAGGUAGCAGCUGUUGCCUGUUAUCAGAAAGCAUCCAGUUCAGUGAACAGCAAUGUAAAUCCAACAGCUGCCCAGACUGGCCAUGUUAGUUCUAGGUGUGAAUGCCGUGCACAGACAAGCACGGAUCUCCCACACAGAAGCUUGCAUGGAGAAGGAAUUCUGGAAGGCAGGCUGUUGUUUUGUGUCUCCAGCUUCCUCUCCCUGCAUACCCCAUCCUGGGCUGAGUCUGUCUGCUGCAUAUUAUUAGCAGUUAAGGGGAUGGCUACCAUAUUGGUAAAGUUGUCCCAAGCCCACUCUGCUCAGGCAUGCUGCCCAACCUGUAAUGUAGACUAUGAACACCAUAGAUUAUAGUAAUGGAAAAUGCUCUCUCUCACAUUUCCUCCUUAAAAGGCAGUAUGUGAGAAUUUCAUAUUACUUAAAUCUAAUUCUCUUGGGGAAAAUUUGGCACAUAGUACAUGUCCAGGGCAGCCAUCAAGAUCUGGGUUCAAGAACCACUCUUUAUGCUAGAGCACUCCCCAUCCAUCACACUGGUGAUGAUGAAAACAGGCAGAUCCUGUGCUGAGCCUUCUCAGUCAGCCUGGUUACCGUUCUCAAGGUGGCAGUGGCCCAUUUAAGUAGGUGGCUAUUCCUGAGAAAGAACUCUCCCUUCCCUUGGAAACCUGCUGUCAUAGUUAAUGGUACAAAUGAGAUCUCUGAUUUCUAGUACUCCACACACGGAGAUUGUGUUGUACUUGAAACUAGGG
rnacentral:lncRNA from 1 species